CGUAGGAGUUCGCGACACCGUCAUAUAUGUUUAAAGUCACUUAUAUUCACCAAAUCCCACAUUCCAUUUUGCGUCUGCCUUCUUGAGCUGUUUAUCCUAGGCGUGUGCCUCUGGAAACCUGUUUUGUUUGGCAACAGCAAAAAAUGUGGACUGAACGUCAUAUUUGAUUUACCCUGGCGUUAAUGUUUGACAGUUGGCCAUCCUCCUGUCAACGGUGUGCACAUAAACGGUACAACUCUCCUAAAAGCACUAUGAAAUUAGCUACGUGCACGGGAAAACAAAUCUAAAUGGAACAAGACAAACCGCACAACAUGCUCAACAUCAGCAGAUGGAGAUAGAUGGAACAGCAAAAGCGAGGUGGAAGAAAAGGACAGGAAUAUGUCUCUCUCACUCGCCAUCGAGUGGAGCCCUCUGUGAAUGCAGCCUGCUGUAUCAUCCAUCUGUGUGGGGGACAUCUUUGGUCUGUCAAAGAAGAGGAUCUUUCAUUUACCAGAGUUGGAUAUCUUUGUGAUCUUUUGAGGAAAAAUCUCUAUCUGCUAGAAAAGGAUGUCUGUACAGCGGGGAUCUCUCCUCGUGUGUUUCUAAGGAGGGUCUUUUGUGUUGGCCAAGGCUCUCGGAAAAAUGCUUAAUAGGAUACUGUGGCUGCACAUGUUACAUUGCAUCAACCCAUAGAAAAGACUUGAUUCAGGGAUGGCCCCCUCACUAUUUGAAUCGUCAACAGUACAUGUUGACUAUGCUGACCUUUGUUUUGGUGACGACUAAAAAAUAAUUGCAUGACAAGGGUGAUAGGAUGAUAUUGAGCUAUAAAUGCAUUGAACUCAACAUCUGUCAAUAAUGCGAAAGACACCACCCUGUCUUGACGGAACACUACAAAAGAACGACAAGCGACAGGGUGAACAGGAGGAACAAGAGGAGGAACAAGAAGGGGGUCAUCAUGAUUUGGCUAAAUCCUCUCUCUGCCCAUCCUGUAGGCGUAGUUUUGACGUUGCCCUUCUCCUACCAUGCUCCCAUACCCUGUGUGGGUACUGUGUAGGGGGUGGGGUGGGGAGGGGGCAGGGCGAUGUGUACUAAGAGGGGAAGGGGUGUGCCAUGCUUCCCAAGGUGGCAACCAUUCUGCCCACCACCGCUCUACCAGUCCCCCUGUGUGUGCCCUUGCUGUUGCCACCCUGUGGAGCUGCCAUGCUGGGAGUGAGCUUCUGCCUCCUGACCCCUGGGUGGACAGCCAGUAGAGCUGGGGAACAGGCGAAGGAGGGACGAAGGCCUUCUCACAGGUCACACCCUCCAAGUGACCCAGUGACUGAACCCUUCCUGACACACGUUCCCAUUCUUUCCCACCCCACUAAUCCCACCUGCAGGGGAAUCCAUUCAUCAGGGACACAUGGGAUGUCAAGGACCAGAGCACUGCUGCAUAUGGCUCACCACUGGAGGGUGCUAUAGACCUACAAGAGGAAGAGAUGGAACAGUCUCUCAGGUCUGACGUUCACCCUGGAUCCCUCUGCUGGUGCUCCAUCUCUCCACCACCUCCCUCACUGUGACCUUCCACGGACCAAGCCCUCCGUCACUACCCUCUCGUCACCAUAGCAACAGGGUCACGGGUUCAGUGUACAGGAUAGGAGUGAGCUCAUUGGACGAUGCUGGUGGCUUGAAAGGCAGGGCUUGUCCUUCUCCACUGUGUACGAUAGCCGUCGGGAGCCCUUACAUGCCGUGCCACCCCAGAUCAAGACCCUAGGGCUGUUCCUCAACAUGGGUGGAGGGGCGCUGAGCUUCUACAACCCUCUGACCCAGGAGCACCUAGCCACCCUGCCCACUCGCUUCAGUAACGCUGGGGUGCGUCCCGCUCUGGGGCUGGGCCAGGGCAGGCUGAGGCUCCGCUGUGGCCUACCCCCUCCACCCCACAUCUUCCUCAGCCGAGCGUCUGCCUAUAGAGGGCCUUCUGGAGCUGGUGAGGGUCGCUGGCGCAGAGACGUGCCCUUCCAGUCUGUACGGGCGGUCAUCCAGAAGUUUGAGGAGCUGGCGGUGUCAGAUUCUGGCUCAGGGCUGGUGUCCAGUUUUGGGUCGUCCUGCUCCACUCUGGCCUCCUUGGCCGAAGCAGGCCCAGGUCUCCGCUUCAGCCUCAGCCCAGGAGCAGCUCGCCAUCCUGGGCAAGAGGGGAUGGAGGCUGGGGCAGAGUAACAUGUGGAGGACAGACUAUAGUACCUUGUACAAUGAUGGGCCUCUACCCUGCUGUUGAUAGAAGCAAACUACUACCACGUCACAUUACAAAUAGGUUUUUAUAAGGUUGGCGAUGACACUGUGUGACAAAUUUGGGAUAAACUUGUGAGGUGGAAGGGCCAUUCUUCUGCUUUAUGAUAGGAGAAAACCAUUUGGGAUGAGUUUGGAUGACUAAUUCCAUGGCUAAUUUCUCAUCUCUGAGGAACUCUCUGACUUUCUCAUCAGUGUGAUUGUGACCCAGUAGUUUACUUUCUCCCCAGGACACUGGGCUUCCUCUCAGCUACACAACCCCCAGAGGUUUGGGGCUGGGCCAGGGCUGUCUGUGGGGGGGUUAGGAGGAGGAGGAUUUCUCACUGGGGGUCCCACACUCUGGUGUGGGGGUUGAUGGUAGGACAGUAGGGUUGAUAUGGAUGGUGGUGUGUGUGGGAGUCAGUGGUGGUGACACUAAGAGUGUUGACUCUGGGUCACAAAGACAGGUGUUAAAGUACAUUUAUCCCGCUGUGUGUGUGUGUGUGUUUCUCUCUCCCUCUGCCCCAUCUUGUCUCUCCAUGAUCUCUCUGUUUUCUCUUUCUGCUUUUUGCAUGUUCUGGAAAGGACAAUCCAAUCAUUUGGUCAGAGCACCCAAGUUGUAAAUCACAUUGUAAUUUUUUUUUUUUUUAAAUCCACCAAAUUAAAACAACCAUCAAUCACGG